rnacentral:rRNA from 1 species
UGGAGAGCUUGCUCUCUGAUGGCGAGUGGCGAACGGGUGAGUAAUAUAUCGGAACGUGCCCAGUAAUGGGGAACAACUAAUUGAAAGAUUAGCUAAUACCGCAUACGCCCUACGGGGGAAAGCAGGGGAUCGUAAGACCUUGCGUUAAUGGAGCGGCCGAUAUCUGAUUAGCUUGUUGGUGAGGUAAAGGCUCACCAAGGCGACGAUCAGUAGCUGGUUUGAGAGAACGACCAGCCACACUGGAACUGAGACACGGUCCAGACUCC